UCCCAAAACCUCGUAACAAUCAAUGGUGGCGAAGAUUCAAAAUCGAGAGUAGGAGGAGGAGGGGAUCAUCGUGAGUGACUGUGUCAUGCUUGAAUAAGCCUCUCCGUUGCCUCAUCGAUGACUCUCCAUCUUAAGCCCUCUUUCAUCGAAGCACAUAAUCUUCGGGAUGUGUGCUUCCACCUUCGUUGGAGAAGCGAUUGGAAUUGGAAGAAUCAGUUGGCUUCAGCGAGCCUCCACGGAGAUUGAUAGCUGCAAUUUGCAUAAUUGCUUUCACUUGAAGGAAGAAGCAGAUGAAGCUUUACUGAUAUUCCAAAGCAGCUACUCCACCAGACUUUUGGCUAAACUAGCUAUAAAGCAUGCGACGAUGGCCGAACAAGUUAAUGACAAGUGUCUCUCUCCACAGACUUAUCUACACCACAAAGCAACCAUGUGAAUCAUAGUCUUACAGGUAGGUCCAGGAUUUGCUAUGGCUUAAUGAUGAGUUACAAAUAAAUCACUCUGCUAAUAACAUCAAAAGAUUUGGCAGAGGCAAAUAAUUCAGAGAAACCAACCAUCAUGGUCAUGCAUUGGGUUUUUGUUGGGCUGCUAAUUGCUCAUGGGGGUUACUUUUAUUUUGGAAACGGCUUAAUUAAUCUCCAUGAGGAUAUUUUAAAGAAUGAACUGUAUCUUUCAACUCCUGUAUUUUAUGCAUAGUUUGCAGAGCUUCUUAUGGUUAUGUUUAUACUUAAAUUGAUAACAAUUGAUUAAUUCUACUCCUGUGACACUCUUUUGACUUCAGCUUCUUCGUAGCACAUUGCAUCAUAUGCCUUGAGCUCAAGUUUCACAAUGUCUUAACUAUUAAUGACUUUGAAUUAUCUUUACAUUCUCUGUGUUUCCUCAUGUGAUCUUUGCAUUCAAUGUCUUCCUCAAAGUCAGAGAUAGUUAAGACAUGGAUGAUAACGAUGACGAUGAAGUGAAAGACGGGGUUUGUUAGAGCUCAAGGCCUAUAUGACCUAGGUCGUUGCUGAUCCUCAUUUAAACAUUCGUAAAGGAUGGAUAGUAGUGAAUCGUCUAAGGCUGGUUCGACAAAAGACAAGGUAGUAAGGGCCUGGGAAGUUUCAGAAAUCUUGAGAAUCAAUGUCUUCGUACAAAAGCAGUGUCUUGCCCUACUUGAAUGAGGCUGUGUUGCUCUCCCUCAAGACAUUGAUUCUCCGUGACAACUUAUUUGAUGGUGGUUUUCCUGUUCAAGAACUAAUCAAUCUGACAAGUUUGGAAGUACUGGUUCUAAAAUUCGAGUUCAGUAGCGAGUUACCAGGACAAGGAUUUGUAACCCUGAUCCUCCGUUAACACUUUGUGAUAAAAACCAAUUCGAUUUUGUAACAUAAUCUAUAAUUUUUCUGAUGCAAUUUGUUUAUUUAUAAUCCAUAUUGCAUCUCUUUCUUUUUGGCAGAGCUCACCAAUAUGCGAAACCUAAGAGCUUUGGAUCUUACGCAAUAAUCAAUUCUGUGGUUCAUUGCAAAAAACCAGGCAAGUUAUGACAAAUACUGCUUUUGUAGUAGUGGACCUCGUCUCAGUUUCGUUUGUAUAUUUCUUGAUGUUUCCCUGUGCAUCGAUAUUGAGGUUUGAUGGUGGAGCCUCGGAGCGACGUAUGUAACCGUUUUGAUGGAUUUCUCCGUUAUCUAGAGAGGUUUUCGAGGAAGGAUGAAAUCAGAAGUAGUUGUCAACAUUUCUUCAAAGAUGAUCUUUGAUCUUUACAAGUUAUAUAGCCUUAUAGGAUUGUUGUAUGCAUAUUUUAUGAGCGAUGACGUACGAUUAAAUUUAAAGCCACCAAUAAUCUUUCCAUUUUUCUAUUCAAACGCCAUACCAGAA